GUGCCUAGUGUUAACGGCCGCAGUACCUUGACUGUGCUAAGGUAGCAUAAUCAGUUGGCUUUUAAAUGGAGUCGGGAAUGAAUGGACUAAUGGAGUGAAGCUGUCUCUUCUAUAUUAUAUUUAAUUUACUUAGUAGGUGAAAAUGCCUACUUCCAGAAAAAAGACGAGAAGACCCUAGGAGUUUUUACUAAAAGUUAUCUUAUAAUUUCCGUUUUUGUUGGGGCGACAUUGGAGAAAUAUUUAUCUAAACCUCCUUUUAGAGAUUUGCCGACUAUGUAUGUGAAUUUAAACUACCCUAGGGAUAACAGCGUAAUUUUGUUUAAGCUUGCGACCUCGAUGUUGGACUAGGAAUUUGGCAGGUUAGCCGCCUGUUUUUAAUGUUCUGUUCGAACUGUGCCUCCUACGUGAUCUGA
rnacentral:rRNA from 1 species